rnacentral:rRNA from 1 species
UACGAAGGGGGCGAGCGUUGUUCGGAUUUACUGGGCGUAAAGGGCGCGCAGGCGGCUAUCCAAGUCAGGCGUGAAAGCCCCGGGCUUAACCUGGGAGGUGCGUCUGGGACUGGGUGGCUAGAGUUCGGGAGAGGAGAGUGGAAUUCCCAGUGUAGAGGUGAAAUUCGUAGAUAUUGGGAAGAACACCGGUGGCGAAGGCGGCGUUCUGGACUGCAACUGACACUGAGGAACGAAAGCCAGGGGAGCAAACGGG